AUACGGAGGAUCCGAGCGUUAUCAGGAUUUAUUGGGUUUAAAGGGUGCGCAGGCGGCCAUUUAAGUCAGCGGUUAAAUCGUGGGGCUCAACCCCAUUCUGCCGUUGAUACUGGGUGGCUUGAUUGCGGUCGAGGUGGGCGGAAUUCGUUGUGUAGCGGUGAAAUGCAUAGAUAUGACGAAGAACACCGAUUGCGUAGGCAGCUGACCAGACCGCAAAUGACGCUCAUGCACGAAAGUGCGGGGAUAGAACAGGAUUAGAUACCCUGGUAGUCCGCACAGUAAACGAUGAAUACUUGUUUUCGGCGAUAUAAUGUCGGAGGCAAAGCGAAAGCGAUAAGUAUUCCACCUGGGGAGUACGCCGGCAACGGUGAAACUCAAAUGAAUUGGCGGGG
rnacentral:rRNA from 1 species